rnacentral:rRNA from 1 species
AGCAGCCGCGGUAAUUCCAGCUCCAAUAGCGUAUAUUAAAGUUGUUGCAGUUAAAAAGCUCGUAGUUGAACCUUGGGCCUGGCUGGCCGGUCCGCCUCACCGCGUGUACUGGUCCGGCCGGGCCUUUCCUUCUGGGGAGCCGCAUGCCCUUCACUGGGCGUGCCGGGGAACCAGGACUUUUACUUUGAAAAAAUUAGAGUGUUCAAAGCAGGCCUUUGCUCGAAUACAUUAGCAUGGAAUAAUAGAAUAGGACGUCGCGGUCCUAUUUUGUUGGUUUCUAGGACCGCCGUAAUGAUUAAUAGGGAUAGUCGGGGGCAUCCGUAUUCAAUUGUCAGAGGUGAAAUUCUUGGAUUUAUUGAAGACGAACUACUGCGAAAGCAUUUGCCAAGGAUGUUUUCAUUAAUCAGUGAACGAAAGUUAGGGGAUCGAAGACGAUCAGAUACCGUCGUAGUCUUAACCAUAAACUAUGCCGACUAGGGAUCGGUGGAUGUUUCUAUAUUGACUCCAUCGGCACCUUACGAGAAAUCAAAGUUUUUGGGUUCUGGGGGGAGUAUGGUCGCAA